GAUGAGAAUCACUAGAAGGUCAUCCUUAAGUAUUUGAGAAAUACUAAGGAUAGAUGACUUGGUUAUGGAGAAUCUGACUUAAAACUUAUAGAAUGUGACUUUAAUUUUUAGUUGGAUAUAAUAAUAGCAAGAAUGUAUCAGAAUAUAUCCUUAUCCUAAAUAAUGGAGCAAUCUACUAAAAAAGUUUCAAGCAGAGCAAUAUAGCC
rnacentral:lncRNA from 1 species